GCUGAAAAAAAAACAUUAUUAUAAGUAUGACAAUCUUGAAGAUAGAUUGAAUGAUGUUCCAGAAAGAGUGCCCGAAGAACACUACAAGACGCUCCUAGCUUAUUGGGAGACGACCGCAGCAAAGAAAACAAGUUUGCAGAAUUCAGAAAAUCGUCGAGAACUAGACAACAUGCACACAGUUGGUCCUGUUUCUUUCGCCAUGAAGCAUGAAGAGAUGUUACGGAAAGAUGGUGUUGCACCAUCAAAAAGAAAGAUGUUUGAAGAGACUCGACGACGAAAGGAAGGAAAAACAUAUGAUCGGCCUUAUGAUGAUACUGAACAGAAGAUAGUAAUUAUUAUACAAUUCUUGUAUUUUAAUAUACAUACAAACUAGCUAUUGUAUCAUACACAUUGAAUUAACCAACUUAUUUUCUUUAAUAUAGCAAGCAAUGAGGAAGUUGGAAGCUUUGCAAGAUGGACAAAGCAGUGAUUCUCGUAAGGAUUCAUUU